AUUUCUUUUGUAAAAAAAAGAAUGUUCGUUUGAAAAGUAAGAGGUAUUCUAGACUUCUAAUUUACAUAGUGAUUAGAAUUCGCGUAUUUCCGGCAGGAGGACGUAUUUCCAACCUAUCUAUGUUUAUGUAGCCGUGUAAUUUUAGAAACGCUCUUUCUCUGUUUGACAAGUAGUGUUCGCGCACGAGAAUGAUCUGUGAUUUUCCCAGACACAAUGACAGAUGAGCAGCACGCGUUUUCCUUUGUACUACACCCAGGAAGAACACGCUGCUGUGUAUUCCGACGCGUACAAUGUACGACAUAUGAAUAAAUCGUACGUACAGUAACUCACGAAAGUAUUCGCACUCUUAUCAUAGAAACCUUUUUUGAAAUUUUGUUAGCGACAUAACGAGACGCGUAUAAUUUACUUUUUUAUAAUUCUUCUCUAAUUGUAAGGUAGAGAAGUUUCAAGACAUUUAUUUCAAACAUACGCUUGGUGGAAAAUCAAAAAUGCAGCAUGAAUAGUACAGCAUACAGUCUUGAACAUGCAAUAAGUACUAAAGAUGGUCUCGCUAAAUACUGUAGCUUAUUAAUACAGCUAAUGAUUGACUGUACAAAUAUCUUGGCGAUUUUUGAGAAGUGUAUGCUUCCAAUAAAUAUCUUGCAACUUUUACAUACGUUUCCAGAUCAGUUUCGAAAAGUGUUGUUGCAUGAGUGCAACAUUGUGAUCGACUAAUCGUUUCCUUGAUAAUCUACGUCAAUGGUCGUUAAUAUGGCGUUUCAUAUAAUACUAGCAACUGUAUACAUUUCUAAAUUUGUUCCAAACGUUACCAAUAUAGUCACGUUAGUCGGAUCUCAUUACGGCGUUAACGAAAUUCCAAAAUGUCUCGUGUGAUGCACAUAAUAGAUUCAUGAAAGGUCUCUACAAGUGUUCGAGUACUCUCGUGAGAAACUGUACAGCGGCUGUCGUCAGAAACAAAGUACAUCGAGAUGAUGCGAAAUGUUAUCUCUGUCAGGGGACUAUUUUUUCAACGAUACGAGCCGCGUGUCGUCAUAUAUAAAUUUCCAUAUGUGGCAAGCGAUCGAGGAAAAACCGUUCAAUGAUUUGGAAGAAGGUAUCGUAUGAUUUAUGGACCUCGUAUUCUUCUCUUCGCCGUUAUUUACUAACAUUUCUCUGUAUUCAUACACUAUACGUAAUUACUGCGUUUCGUAUGAAAAAGGAAAAGAAGAUUGUUCGAAAGCAACGAUACAAGGUCACGUUAUCACGAUCCGAUUUACUAUAUCGAUGUAUGACCGCAUUAACGCGUUCCACGCGUUUAUAGUUUCUCUUAGUUAUGCUUUACUUGACCAAUCCAUAUUUUGGUCCACCGACCGAGCAUUCCGCAAUCGCGCCACAGUGGUCGACUGUUUAUCGAAUUUUGCUUUUACACGCUAGAAGCUUCGAUAACGAUGCACCGAUAGUGGCUGUCUUCCGAGGAUUCGGUGAUCACGGUGAAUGACGCUAACUUCCCCUUAUCACGAGAUCCCGUGACGUCGUCUUUAUCGUAUAAAUUAUCCACCGGAGAAGACCAGUUCGCCAGUUCAGCUUUCCUCCUCGUACGAUCGUGUACUCAUGAGGUAGAGACACUUACGACAAGUUUCACUUGUUACUUUCGACCAGCUACGAAAUAGAACUUCGCAGUUCUAUCUCCAACAUCUAGUCCACGGUAUAUCGACUUGAGCAAAGCAAA